rnacentral:rRNA from 1 species
UACGGAGGGAGCUAGCGUUGUUCGGAAUUACUGGGCGUAAAGCGCACGUAGGCGGCUUUGUAAGUAAGGGGUGAAAGCCUGGAGCUCAACUCCAGAAUUGCCUUUUAGACUGCAUCGCUUGAAUCAUGGAGAGGUCAGUGGAAUUCCGAGUGUAGAGGUGAAAUUCGUAGAUAUUCGGAAGAACACCAGUGGCGAAGGCGGCUCACUGGUCCGGUACUGACGCUGAGGUGCGAAAGCGUGGGGAGCAAACGGG